rnacentral:rRNA from 1 species
CAGACGGCAGUGCAAGUCUGAUGUGAAAGCCCGGGGCUCAACCCCGGAACUGCAUUGGAAACUGUACAGCUCGAGUGUCGGAGAGGUAAGCGGAAUUCCUAGUGUAGCGGUGAAAUGCGUAGAUAUUAGGAGGAACACCGGUGGCGAAGGCGGCUUACUGGACGAUGACUGACGUUGANGCUCGAAAGCGUGGGGAGCAAACAGGAUUAGAUACCCUGGUAGUCCACGCUGUAAACGAUGANUACUAGGUGUGGGCACGCAGAGCGUGUCCGUGCCCCANCUAACGCAGUANUAUUCCACCUGGGGAGUACGUUCNCAGANUGAAACUCAANGAAUUGACGGGGACCCCCNCAGCGGU